UACGUAGGGUGCGAGCGUUGUCCGGAAUUAUUGGGCGUAAAGGGCUCGUAGGCGGUUUGUCGCGUCGGGAGUGAAAACUCAGGGCUUAACCCCUGAGCCUGCUUCCGAUACGGGCAGACUAGAGGUAUGCAGGGGAGAACGGAAUUCCUGGUGUAGCGGUGAAAUGCGCAGAUAUCAGGAGGAACACCGGUGGCGAAGGCGGUUCUCUGGGCAUUACCUGACGCUGAGGAGCGAAAGUGUGGGGAGCGAACAGG
rnacentral:rRNA from 1 species